ACCAUAAGAGGAGCAGUGAAAUAUUUCCAUGGACUAGAGAUAGUGUAACAUGUAGAGUGAAUGGAUGAGUUCUUUGUCUCCUAAAUUUGAGGAAUGAAAUCUAUGGAUACAAGGAUGAGAGCAUAUUAACAGGAUUUACAGAAAGAAAUAAGAGCUCCUGAAGAGGGAGUGUCCCUAAGGAGAGAUGUCCACAGGUGUCUGUUGUCUAGGGGUUUUUAUGUUCUUUAUCUGUCCCUAUAGACUGGUGGUGACUAUGUUAAUGGGGGAUGCUAGCAUGGACCAAUUAAACUCUCUAAGUUCUGAGUUUAAUAAGCCAGUCAGAAGUUUAUAAUAUCCCUUAUUUAUAUAAUUAAGAGAACAGGUCUAAAGUUGGGCAAAGUGGCACACACCUAUAAUCCUAGCGGCUCUGGAAGCUAAGAUGGGAGGAGAGCAAGUUCAAAGCCAGCCUCAGAAAAAAUGAGGUGCUAAGGAACACAGUGAGACUCUGUCUCUAAAUAAAAUACAAAAUAGGGCUGGGGAUGUGGCUCAGUGGUUGAGUGCCCCUGUGUUGAAUUCCCAGUAAGAAUGGAUCUAAUCUUGUGGUUUGGCAUAUCUGUGAAGGCAAGGAAGUGCUUCAGGAGUUGAUUUGGUGGACAGUCUUUGCUAGGGGUAGGCAUGGGGUAACUAAGGAAAAGCUACUGUAGUUGAAGCUGUUAGGAACAAUAAUAGGUGCUAAGGAACCAUUGCAGAUGAAGCUCUUGGGGGCACCAAGUAACAGAAUGUUCUACAGACCAUCUCUUUCUAGAAUGGCAUGUUAUUCUCCUCCCCUCCUUCCCUUCCGCAAGGCCUUAUCCUAUCUGCCUAUGGGAGGUCUACCUUUCUGCCUCAUUAGCUCAAUAGAUUGCAUGCAAAGAAAUCAGGUGUGAC
rnacentral:lncRNA from 1 species